GCCGGGGUCGCCUAGCCUGGAAGGGCGCAGGCCUGGAAAGCCUGUCUCCUUUAGUGGGGUCGUGGGUUCGAAUCCCACUCCCGGCG
rnacentral:tRNA from 1 species